rnacentral:rRNA from 1 species
GGGUUGUGAGGUUAAGCGACUAAGCGUACACGGUGGAUGCCCUGGCAGUCAGAGGCGAUGAAGGACGUGCUAAUCUGCGAUAAGCGUCGGUAAGGUGAUAUGAACCGUUAUAACCGGCGAUUUCCGAAUGGGGAAACCCAGUGUGAUUCGUCACACUAUCAUUAACUGAAUCCAUAGGUUAAUGAGGCGAACCGGGGGAACUGAAACAUCUAAGUACCCCGAGGAAAAGAAAUCAACCGAGAUUCCCCCAGUAGCGGCGAGCGAACGGGGAGCAGCCCAGAGCCUGAAUCAGUGUGUGUGUUAGUGGAAGCGUCUGGAAAGGCGUGCGAUACAGGGUGACAGCCCCGUACACAAAAAUGCACAUGCUGUGAGCUCGAUGAGUAGGGCGGGACACGUGGUAUCCUGUCUGAAUAUGGGGGGACCAUCCUCCAAGGCUAAAUACUCCUGACUGACCGAUAGUGAACCAGUACCGUGAGGGAAAGGCGAAAAGAACCCCGGCGAGGGGAGUGAAAAAGAACCUGAAACCGUGUACGUACAAGCAGUGGGAGCACAGAGCAAUCUGUGUGACUGCGUACCUUUUGUAUAAUGGGUCAGCGACUUAUAUUCUGUAGCAAGGUUAACCGAAUAGGGGAGCCGAAGGGAAACCGAGUCUUAACUGGGCGUUAAGUUGCAGGGUAUAGACCCGAAACCCGGUGAUCUAGCCAUGGGCAGGUUGAAGGUUGGGUAACACUAACUGGAGGACCGAACCGACUAAUGUUGAAAAAUUAGCGGAUGACUUGUGGCUGGGGGUGAAAGGCCAAUCAAACCGGGAGAUAGCUGGUUCUCCCCGAAAGCUAUUUAGGUAGCGCCUCGUGAAUUCAUCUCCGGGGGUAGAGCACUGUUUCGGCAAGGGGGUCAUCCCGACUUACCAACCCGAUGCAAACUGCGAAUACCGGAGAAUGUUAUCACGGGAGACACACGGCGGGUGCUAACGUCCGUCGUGAAGAGGGAAACAACCCAGACCGCCAGCUAAGGUCCCAAAGUCAUGGUUAAGUGGGAAACGAUGUGGGAAGGCCCAGACAGCCAGGAUGUUGGCUUAGAAGCAGCCAUCAUUUAAAGAAAGCGUAAUAGCUCACUGGUCGAGUCGGCCUGCGCGGAAGAUGUAACGGGGCUAAACCAUGCACCGAAGCUGCGGCAGCGACGCUUAUGCGUUGUUGGGUAGGGGAGCGUUCUGUAAGCCUGCGAAGGUGUGCUGUGAGGCAUGCUGGAGGUAUCAGAAGUGCGAAUGCUGACAUAAGUAACGAUAAAGCGGGUGAAAAGCCCGCUCGCCGGAAGACCAAGGGUUCCUGUCCAACGUUAAUCGGGGCAGGGUGAGUCGACCCCUAAGGCGAGGCCGAAAGGCGUAGUCGAUGGGAAACAGGUUAAUAUUCCUGUACUUGGUGUUACUGCGAAGGGGGGACGGAGAAGGCUAUGUUGGCCGGGCGACGGUUGUCCCGGUUUAAGCGUGUAGGCUGGUUUUCCAGGCAAAUCCGGAAAACUAAGGCUGAGGCGUGAUGACGAGGCACUACGGUGCUGAAGCAACAAAUGCCCUGCUUCCAGGAAAAGCCUCUAAGCAUCAGGUAACAUCAAAUCGUACCCCAAACCGACACAGGUGGUCAGGUAGAGAAUACCAAGGCGCUUGAGAGAACUCGGGUGAAGGAACUAGGCAAAAUGGUGCCGUAACUUCGGGAGAAGGCACGCUGAUAUGUAGGUGAAGUCCCUCGCGGAUGGAGCUGAAAUCAGUCGAAGAUACCAGCUGGCUGCAACUGUUUAUUAAAAACACAGCACUGUGCAAACACGAAAGUGGACGUAUACGGUGUGACGCCUGCCCGGUGCCGGAAGGUUAAUUGAUGGGGUCAGCGCAAGCGAAGCUCUUGAUCGAAGCCCCGGUAAACGGCGGCCGUAACUAUAACGGUCCUAAGGUAGCGAAAUUCCUUGUCGGGUAAGUUCCGACCUGCACGAAUGGCGUAAUGAUGGCCAGGCUGUCUCCACCCGAGACUCAGUGAAAUUGAACUCGCUGUGAAGAUGCAGUGUACCCGCGGCAAGACGGAAAGACCCCGUGAACCUUUACUAUAGCUUGACACUGAACAUUGAGCCUUGAUGUGUAGGAUAGGUGGGAGGCUUUGAAGUGUGGACGCCAGUCUGCAUGGAGCCGACCUUGAAAUACCACCCUUUAAUGUUUGAUGUUCUAACGUUGACCCGUGAUCCGGGUUGCGGACAGUGUCUGGUGGGUAGUUUGACUGGGGCGGUCUCCUCCUAAAGAGUAACGGAGGAGCACGAAGGUUGGCUAAUCCUGGUCGGACAUCAGGAGGUUAGUGCAAUGGCAUAAGCCAGCUUGACUGCGAGCGUGACGGCGCGAGCAGGUGCGAAAGCAGGUCAUAGUGAUCCGGUGGUUCUGAAUGGAAGGGCCAUCGCUCAACGGAUAAAAGGUACUCCGGGGAUAACAGGCUGAUACCGCCCAAGAGUUCAUAUCGACGGCGGUGUUUGGCACCUCGAUGUCGGCUCAUCACAUCCUGGGGCUGAAGUAGGUCCCAAGGGUAUGGCUGUUCGCCAUUUAAAGUGGUACGCGAGCUGGGUUUAGAACGUCGUGAGACAGUUCGGUCCCUAUCUGCCGUGGGCGCUGGAGAACUGAGGGGGGCUGCUCCUAGUACGAGAGGACCGGAGUGGACGCAUCACUGGUGUUCGGGUUGUCAUGCCAAUGGCACUGCCCGGUAGCUAAAUGCGGAAGAGAUAAGUGCUGAAAGCAUCUAAGCACGAAACUUGCCCCGAGAUGAGUUCUCCCUGACUCCUUGAGAGUCCUGAAGGAACGUUGAAGACGACGACGUUGAUAGGCCGGGUGUGUAAGCGCAGCGAUGCGUUGAGCUAACCGGUACUAAUGAACCGUGAGGCUUAACCUUACAACGCCGAAG